rnacentral:rRNA from 1 species
GAGAGUUUGAUCCUGGCUCAGGAUGAACGCUAGCUACAGGCUUAACACAUGCAAGUCGAGGGGCAGCAUGGUCUUAGCUUGCUAAGGCCGAUGGCGACCGGCGCACGGGUGAGUAACGCGUAUCCAACCUGCCUUACACUCUUGGACAGCCUUCUGAAAGGGAGAUUAAUACAAGAUGUUAUCAUGAGUAAGCAUUUUCGCAUGAUUAAAGGUUUACCGGUGUAAGAUGGGGAUGCGUUCCAUUAGAUAGUAGGCGGGGUAACGGCCCACCUAGUCUUCGAUGGAUAGGGGUUCUGAGAGGAAGGUCCCCCACAUUGGAACUGAGACACGGUCCAAACUCCUACGGGAGGCAGCAGUGAGGAAUAUUGGUCAAUGGACGAGAGUCUGAACCAGCCAAGUAGCGUGAAGGAUGAAGGUUCUAUGGAUUGUAAACUUCUUUUAUACGGGAAUAAACGAAUCCACGCGUGGAUUUUUGCAUGUACCGUAUGAAUAAGGAUCGGCUAACUCCGUGCCAGCAGCCGCGGUAAUACGGAGGAUCCGAGCGUUAUCCGGAUUUAUUGGGUUUAAAGGGAGCGUAGAUGGGUUGUUAAGUCAGUUGUGAAAGUUUGCGGCUCAACCGUAAAAUUGCAAUUGAUACUGGCAGUCUUGAGUACGGUUGAGGUAGGCGGAAUUCGUGGUGUAGCGGUGAAAUGCUUAGAUAUCACGAAGAACUCCGAUUGCGAAGGCAGCUUACUAACCUGUAACUGACAUUGAUGCUCGAAAGUGUGGGUAUCAAACAGGAUUAGAUACCCUGGUAGUCCACACGGUAAACGAUGAAUACUCGCUGUAGGCGAUAUACAGUCUGCGGCCAAGCGAAAGCAUUAAGUAUUCCACCUGGGGAGUACGCCGGCAAUGGUGAAACUCAAAGGAAUUGACGGGGGCCCGCACAAGCGGAGGAACAUGUGGUUUAAUUCGAUGAUACGCGAGGAACCUUACCCGGGCUUAAAUUGCAACCGAAUAUGGCGGAAACGCUAUAGCUAGCAAUAGCGGUUGUGAAGGUGCUGCAUGGUUGUCGUCAGCUCGUGCCGUGAGGUGUCGGCUUAAGUGCCAUAACGAGCGCAACCCUUGCCGAUAGUUACUAACAGGUCAUGCUGAGGACUCUGUCGGGAAUGCCAUCGUAAGAUGUGAGGAAGGUGGGGAUGACGUCAAAUCAGCACGGCCCUUACGUCCGGGGCUACACACGUGUUACAAUGGGGGGUACAGAGGGCUGCUACCACGCAAGUGGAUGCCAAUCCCAAAAACCUCUCUCAGUUCGGAUUGAAGUCUGCAACCCGACUUCAUGAAGCUGGAUUCGCUAGUAAUCGCGCAUCAGCCACGGCGCGGUGAAUACGUUCCCGGGCCUUGUACACACCGCCCGUCAAGCCAUGGGAGCCGGGGGUACCUGAAGUGCGUAACCGCAAGGAGCGCCCUAGGGUAAAACUGGUGACUGGGGCUAAGUCGUAACAAGGUAGCCG